UGCAGUCGAGCGAAGAGAUGGGAGCUUGCUCCCUGAUCUUAGCGGCGGACGGGUGAGUAACACGUGGGCAACCUGCCCUGCAGACUGGGAUAACUCCGGGAAACCGGAGCUAAUACCGGGUAAUACAUCGCACCGCAUGGUGCAAUGUUGAAAGUUGGCUUUCUGAGCUAACACUGCAGGAUGGGCCCGCGGCGCAUUAGCUAGUUGGUAAGGUAAUGGCUUACCAAGGCGACGAUGCGUAGCCGACCUGAGAGGGUGAUCGGCCACACUGGGACUGAGACACGGCCCAGACUCCUACGGGAGGCAGCAGUAGGGAAUCUUCCGCAAUGGACGAAAGUCUGACGGAGCAACGCCGCGUGAGUGACGAAGGCCUUCGGGUCGUAAAGCUCUGUUGUUAGGGAAGAACAAGUACCGUUCGAAUAGGGCGGUACCUUGACGGUACCUAACCAGAAAGCCACGGCUAACUACGUGCCAGCAGCCGCGGUAAUACGUAGGUGGCAAGCGUUGUCCGGAAUUAUUGGGCGUAAAGCGCGCGCAUGCGGUCUUUUAAGUCUGAUGUGAAAGCCCACGGCUCAACCGUGGAGGGUCAUUGGAAACUGGAGGACUUGAAU
rnacentral:rRNA from 1 species